AGCAGGCAGAAAGGAUGGAAAUUGAUAGCAUACAGAUACUACACUUUCAUUUGUUGUUGUCUAUUAAUCAUUUGUUGUGUUUUUGCCCAAUUUAUUCUCUUCUUUUUUUCUCCUUCUUUUUGUCAUACAACAGCUAGAAGAUGUAACCACAACAAAGAAAAAAGGAGAAGAAGUAGGAAAUGACAACAACUACUUAU
rnacentral:ribozyme from 1 species